UACGUAGGGUGCAAGCGUUGUCCGGAAUUAUUGGGCGUAAAGAGCUCGUAGGCGGUCUGUCAAGUCGGAUGUGAAAACUCGGGGCUCAACCCCGAGCCUGCAUACGAUACGGGCAGACUUGAGUUCGGCAGGGGAGACUGGAAUUCCUGGUGUAGCGGUGAAAUGCGCAGAUAUCAGGAGGAACACCGGUGGCGAAGGCGGGUCUCUGGGCCGAUACUGACGCUGAGGAGCGAAAGCGUGGGGAGCGAACAGG
rnacentral:rRNA from 1 species